GGGUUGUGAGGUUAAGCGACUAAGCGUACACGGUGGAUGCCCUGGCAGUCAGAGGCGAUGAAGGGCGUGCUAAUCUGCGAUAAGCGCCGGUAAGGUGAUAUGAACCGUUAUAACCGGCGAUACCCGAAUGGGGAAACCCAGUGUGACUCGUCACACUAUCAUUAACUGAAUCCAUAGGUUAAUGAGGCGAACCGGGGGAACUGAAACAUCUAAGUACCCCGAGGAAAAGAAAUCAACCGAGAUUCCCCCAGUAGCGGCGAGCGAACGGGGAGGAGCCCAGAGCCUGAAUCAGCAUGUGUGUUAGUGGAAGCGUCUGGAAAGGCGCGCGAUACAGGGUGACAGCCCCGUACACAAAAGCGCAUGUGCUGUGAGCUCGAUGAGUAGGGCGGGACACGUGGUAUCCUGUCUGAAUAUGGGGGGACCAUCCUCCAAGGCUAAAUACUCCUGACUGACCGAUAGUGAACCAGUACCGUGAGGGAAAGGCGAAAAGAACCCCGGCGAGGGGAGUGAAAAAGAACCUGAAACCGUGUACGUACAAGCAGUGGGAGCACCCUUCGGGGUGUGACUGCGUACCUUUUGUAUAAUGGGUCAGCGACUUAUAUUCUGUAGCAAGGUU
rnacentral:rRNA from 1 species